rnacentral:rRNA from 1 species
UAGGGAAUCUUCGGCAAUGGGGGCAACCCUGACCGAGCAACGCCGCGUGAGUGAAGAAGGUUUUCGGAUCGUAAAGCUCUGUUGUAAGAGAAGAACGUGUGUGAGAGUGGAAAGUUCACACAGUGACGGUAACUUACCAGAAAGGGACGGCUAACUACGUGCCAGCAGCCGCGGUAAUACGUAGGUCCCGAGCGUUGUCCGGAUUUAUUGGGCGUAAAGCGAGCGCAGGCGGUUUAAUAAGUCUGAAGUUAAAGGCAGUGGCUUAACCAUUGUCCGCUUUGGAAACUGUUAAACUUGAGUGCAGAAGGGGAGAGUGGAAUUCCAUGUGUAGCGGUGAAAUGCGUAGAUAUAUGGAGGAACACCGGUGGCGAAAGCGGCUCUCUGGUCUGUAACUGACGCUGAGGCUCGAAAGCGUGGGGAGCAAACAGG